rnacentral:rRNA from 1 species
UACGUAGGUGGCAAGCGUUGUCCGGAUUUAUUGGGUUUAAAGGGUGCGUAGGCGGUCUAUUAAGUCAGCGGUGAAAUACUCCAGCUUAACUGGAGGGGUGCCAUUGAUACUGAUGGACUUGAGUCAAGUCGAGGUAGGCGGAAUUGACGGUGUAGCGGUGAAAUGCUUAGAUAUCUGGAGGAACACCGGUGGCGAAGGCGGCAUCCUGGACCGGCAUUGACGCUGAGGCGCGAAAGCCAGGGGAGCAAACGGG